AAGACGUGGGAGGGCGGAGUUCGUGGGUGGACGUGGGUGUCGAGUGGCCUAGACAUAUCUGGCAAUUCGGACAAAUAUUAGUCCCGUAUCCCGAGAACCUGGCUUUCAUGCAUUGGUGAUGGCUAGCUGACAGUGACAGAGAUGGAACUGCUCUAGACACAUUUGAUGAAAGAACAUCUGAAAUGGAGGAUGUCAACAAGCAAGGUUCCCUGCCAUUUGUUAGGCUUCCUGACGCCACGGUCAGCGAGUCCGAGGACACCGAUGACGUCACUCCGCCCAGUCCGUGAGUGUUGUGCGCGUCGCCGGCGUUUCUCCGCGGCCGGCAUCUGGGAGCGGAGGCACGCGCUCGCGGGUAUACGACUGC